rnacentral:rRNA from 1 species
AUGGAGAAGGAGAAGACGGUCGUUCUGUACCCGGGGCUUUCCGUCAGCCACUUCGUCCCGAUGACGCAGCUCGCGGGUACCCUCCUCGACCACGGCUACGCUGUCAUCGUCGCGCUCAUCGAUCCCAGCGUCAAGGAGGACAUCGCCUUCGGCGCCGUCGUCGCCCGCCUUGCCGCCUCCAUGCCGCCCGUCCGCUUCCACACGCUCCCGGCCGUGGAGGACCCGCCCAAGCUGACCCACGACGGGCAGUUCAUGCUCAGGUACCUCGACCUCGUCAGCCGCUACAACAAGCGCCUCCACGACUUCCUCUGCUCCAUUAAUUUGCUUAUAUUUUCAACAGACUCGCCGUCCAACGAGGCGCUCGUCGUCACCAAGAGGCUCGGGUUCCCUAGCUACACCUUGUUCACCUCCAGCGCCGCCACCUUUGUCGCCUUCGCCCAGCUCCCUACGGUCCUCGCAGAGGGCGGCCCGAGCUUCAAGGAGCUGGGAGACACCCAUCUCGAGCUCUUCGGCCUUCCACCCAUGCCGGCUUCGCAUCUGUUGGGCGAGGUGCUCGAGGACCCGGAGAGCGACACAUACAAGGCGAUGAUGGCCUUGCUCUGCCGGAUCCCGGAGGCCGACGGCACGCUGGUGAAUACGUUCGAGUCGUUGGAGGCUCGGGCCGUGGCUACUCUCAAGGACCCGCGGUGUGUCCCCGGCUGGGUAUUGCCUCCGGUGUACUGCGUCGGUCCAUUUGUCGGCAGCAUCGCCGAUGCCGAGGCAAAAGAGCGGCACGAGUGCCUCGCCUGGCUAGACGGCCAACUGGACCGCAGCGUCGUGUUCCUUUGCUUCGGGAGCAUAGGCACUGGAAACCACUCUGAAGAGCAGCUCAGGGAGAUCGCCGUCGGCCUCGACAAGUCCGGCCACUGCUUCUUGUGGGUUGUGCGAGCCCCCGCCAGCGACGACCCGGAGAAGCCACACGACCCCAGUGCCAACCCGGACCUCGACACGCUCCUGCCGGACGGUUUCAUGGAGCGAACCAACGGCCGUGGCCUCGUCGUCAAGCUGUGGGCGCCACAGGUGGACGUCCUCCGCCACAGGGCCACGGGGGCGUUCGUGACGCACUGCGGGUGGAAUUCGGUGCUGGAGGGCGUCACGGCGGGCGUGCCGAUGCUGUCCUGGCCGCUCUACUCGGAGCAGAAGAUGAACAAGGUGCACAUGAUGAGGGACAUAGGGGUCGCCACGGAGAUGGUCGGGUGGCAGCAGGGGCUGGUCAAGGCCGGCGAGGUAGAGGCCAAGGUAAGGCUUGUGAUGGAGUCUGAGGAGGGUAGAGAGCUCAGAGCGCGGGCGGCGGUGCACAAGGAAGCCGCGGCCGCGGCUUGCGACGAUGGCGGGACGUCGCGCUUGGCGUUUGCCCAGUUCCUGGCGGACGUGGCAAGCCGGCAGGAUCGGGCUUUGCAGUGA